rnacentral:lncRNA from 10 species
CCUCCCAAAUUGCUGGGAUGACAGACGUGAACCACCGUGCCUGGCCGACAGUCACCUUUAGAAUGUGAACAGUGGACACUGUGUUGGGGUCUCCUACCUGUGCCUGUGAUGUGGACUGGCCCAUCUCGUCAUGGACAAGGAGAGAUGGGGUUUCACCAUGUUGAGCAGUCUGGUCUUGAACUUCUGACCUCGUGAUCCACCCGCCUCAGCCCCCCAAAGUGCUGGGAUUACAGGCGUGAGCCACCGCGCCCGGCCUGAGACGGCUUUCCAAGGCUGCAGAAAUGAAGUCUGCAAUAGCAGAUCCUCUUUGCCUGGGUUUGCACGUGAUCCAGCAAACCACCCACCGACCCGUUGCCUCAUGUGAGACAUCCUCAGGGAACAGCAAGGCUCGCUGUUCUUGGAAGGGACUUCCAGCCUGGAAAGAAAAGGGAGGGAUAAGAGAGCAAUUUUGAAGGUCCCUGAUAAGACAUCUUUGAGGUCAGGCAUAAAUCAUCACUUCACAUCUUGACGGCAAUGCAACGAAGACAAGUAUCUGUCUCUUUGGGUCUGUCUAACAAGGAGCAAAGCCUGGCCUCCCACCAGCAUCCAGACAAUAGUGGAUUCCCUCUCCAUAGAUGUCAAAAAAGAAACAGAUGCUCCCGCAGGUGAAAUGAGCUCUGGUCCACAAUGCAACGCAGGCUGUGCAGAAAAUCAAAGAGGAACCAACCCAGAAGUAUCCCCCAGGACAAAUCAUUAAGGGGGAAAAGG